GGAAGUUCUACUGUCGAUGCGGCGAAGAAACCUAUCGACCGGAGAAUCCCGCCGGUGAAUAGAACUCCUGCCGAUAAUGUUGGUCCAGUUGCCGAGAGCAGCCCAAAGGUUUCUAUUAAAAACACUGUGGAAGAGAAAGAUCCCAAGUUCGAUGCAAUGCUUAGUCAAAUGGUCGGUAGAAUUCAAGCCAAGCCUGGUGGAAAGCUAGAGAUGGGUGAGGCAACAGUGGUGGAGAGGUAUGAUAGACCCUUGCCUAAGCUAAGGAAUACAACUUCAGAGUCUAGCAGAUAUGAGGAAAGGCCUGCUCCUACAGGUACGCUGAAUGUGGCACAGAUAAAAGAAAUUCUUCUCCUGCAUCAAGGCAGAUCCGAUGAUCAUCAAGGGCCUAUGGACAUCAAUGGAAUUUGUGAGCGGUUUAGAAUUGAUGCUGCCCAGGUUCAGAGGAUUCUGCAGUUUGUAUCUUUGCCUCCGGAAGACACUAGUAAAAAGAGGAACACAUAAGUGUAUCAUAUUUUAUAGUCAUUGAUAUCUCAAAGAAAUGAGUGAGUUCACACUUCCCCUGAGGUGGUUCCCUUUAUGCAUCAAUUUUGCAGCUGUAAGUGGUCUGUUGUAAUAAUGACCUAUAAUCAUGGUCCUGG
rnacentral:misc_RNA from 1 species